GGCUGCCUAGUGUAACGGUCAUCACAUCAGAUUCUGAUUCUGGGGACCCCGGUUCGACUCCGGGGGCGGCCU